rnacentral:rRNA from 1 species
CCACGGUGAAUACGUUCCCGGACCUUGCACACACCGCCCGUCAAGCCAUGGAAGCUGGGUGUACCUAAAGUCGGUAACCGUAAGGAGCCGCCUAGGGUAAAACUAGUAACUGGGGCU